UCUAUUUAAAAUCUUUUCAGAUAUAUCAUUUCAUUAUACCCGCAUGCUUACAUUAUUUUCUGUCAUUUUGUUUUCUUAUUUUCGAAUCAAUUAUAAAAAAAAAUACAACAUAUGAAUUAAAACUAUACAUUGAAUGCCUCACCAUUGAGACAAUAGAUAAACAAUACUCCAAUAUACCUAUUAGUUAUCAUACCACCCAGGCGGUUCAACCUGGCUCACAAACUGUAAAAUUUUGUUGAACUUCUUUCUUUAGGAAAAACUUUUAACAGGAAAGAUAAAGAUGUCCUAAUAAUAUAAGUUAUCUAUAUGAAAGUCAAAUACAGAGAUUAGUCGAGAACAUUAAAUUACCAUUUAGUACCUAUUUAAUCAUGACCUGUAACAGCUGUAUUGCAUUUUAACGUUACAUUCAUUUAUUAUUGUAAAGGUUUAGCAUUACAUUACUAACUUUCUUGCUUCCGAAUAUUAUUGUGGAUAGUAAGUACCUACCUGUAUUUUAAACAAGUCAGGAUAUAAACAAUGUCCAAAAGGAUCAAAUAGCACAGUCUAUUCUGUGUAAUUCAUAGAUAUUCACAUCGCAACAGGCAGGUCAAAUCAGAAGUAUUAAUUAAUACUAUUAGUAAUAUCUGCAAAAUCCAAGACGUAUAAUGUAUUUUUUCUUGCUUGGCGCGGAUCUUGAGCGGCCUUGGAGUGUCUUUUUAUUUGAAUUAAUUUCAAAACAAAUUUAUGAAAUGAAACAUAAAUACACAUGAAAUGCAUAGAAUGAUUGAUUUCGUAAUUAAACCAUUUAUUCAAUUCUUUAUUUGUGAACAUAGGUAAUGUAUGAAUAUGAGUACAAAUCAUGCACACAUGCUAUUUCCAUAAUUUAAACAUUAGGUACAAUAAAUAAUGACUUAACGAAUUGUGUUAAUACAAGUACAAUAAUGCCUCAAUUAAUAAAUAUCAAUGUUGAAUAACAUUAUUAAUUUUAUAAUGUCAUAGUGUAUCAUCAGUCAAAUAUUUAUGUAUAAUAAUGAGCAUUUUCCUACUAGUAACUCAUAUAAUUCCUUUUGAAACAAAUCAUAACUUAAACUGUGGACCUCCACAGUACCUAAUUGGGAAUUUCAUUAAAACAAAUUUUGGUCUCAUACACAAUAUGUUAUUUCUUCAUCAAUGCUGUUUUUACGACGGAAAACUUACGUUAUUAAUAUAUUGUGAACUACCUUAUUAAUCUGUUAAGAGUCUGGGAGACUUUGACAAACAAACAUUUGUUUUACAAAAACCGCAACUUCAUAUAUGUAUAAAGAUGGAAAAGUAAGUAUUUUGGCUGUAGUUAAUUUGUUUAAUUGUAUUUUUAUUAAAAAGGAAACACAAAAAUUGUUUACCUUUUGUGCUGAGUGAGAGUGAAUGUACAUGCAAUCACCCAUUUUAUGACAUAUUAUUAUCCGUAUUAGUUUCAAUAUGGGUCUUUUCCAACACCUUUAAGAAGGCUGGACGUCUCAGACAACUUUUAAAUCUGAUAACAUUAUUUCCGUAGUUUAAAAACAUUAAGUAUAAAUACAUGUUAUUAUUCUGUUAGUAAAUACCACUAGGUCCCUAAGUUUUGAAUACUUUAUUCAUGAUCUGCUAAAUAAAUAUAAAUUACCAUAGGUAUAUUAUAACUUUAAUGUUUAUGAAGUGUUAUAUUUUGUAUUUUUAAGUACCUACUGCUUUGUUGAGUUUUAAGGAAAAGUCGUUAUAUCCUAUAGGAGACUAUGAUAAUGGAAAUUAUAUGUAUUUACUUAGAAUUAAAACUAAUGUAACACCAACAUAGUUGCAAUGAUAAUAAUUUAUAUUAUGAUUAUAAGCAAUUUUAGAAAACAAUAUUUGUAUUCCUAGACUUAGCAAAAGCCUUCAUCUUUAUUAGAUAAACUUAAACGGGAUUAUAUCCCAUGCAUUAUCAUGAUACUAUCUUACAAAUGUCUAACAACAAACAAAUUGCGGAACCUGGAAUAUUCUCUCUCUUCUUUAUUGGUUUUCCAUGACUUGUUAAUACUAAAUAUAAAUAAAACUAACUAUUGACCAGUUUCCAUACAUAACAAUGCUCAGCCUCACAUUGAUUUCAAUCUAAAAAUGCUUACAUUUUGUGAACUUUAAAACUCAAACUACAGUGUGAAAAUAUCAAUUAUGCUCUGUCCAUUAUAUUAUUGGUUUUUGGACAGUUGAAAUCCCAUACAUUUUUGACGACUAAAAGGAAAACCAACUUUACUUACCAGACAUAAGGAAGCGUCAUAAAAAAAAAAACAAAAACAUAGUGGAAGCUAUAUAAGUCUCUCGAGUUGAUAAUCACCUUGGUGUGAAUCACAUAACGUCAACAACACAGAUAUAAUUAAAAACUAUACCAUAGGUACUAUUUGUUUAUUUAUUAAUUAAUUUAUUUAAAUAAGGAACACGACUACUGACCACAUAUACAGUCUAACUAUAGUCAUGGAAGUAAAGAGUGCGAAUUUGUGGAGACUUUAUGUCAUUGCCUGUUGAAUACUUACAGUUACAGUUAAUUAUAUUAGGAAAUAAAAUAGCAAUUGACUAUAUCGUUUAACGGAUUGGUGCUUAGAUGAAGGUAAUAGAUCAAUUUAAUACGGUAUUUUACAAUUAGUUCGGAUCAAUUUCAGUUCUGGACUUUAUAAAUAGACUGUAAAGCUUUUGCACAGUCAGUCAUCACAUCAGUUACUUUAAAUAUCCCUGUAGGAACUGCCAAGAACCCAUCUCAUAUUAUUUGGGCAUAGAGCAGUAAUUAAAACAAAAUAUUUCAAAUCUAUUUUAUUUCCUACAUUUCAAAUAUAUAUUUUAUUUGUGACGCCGCUGGCUUGCUGACGUAGAGGUUCAGAAUUAAUUAUACAUGAUCUUACUUUGCUGGCUUUAUUUACAAAAGGAGAAGUCAAACAAAGUGACAUUAUCCUAUAUAUAAUCAAAUAUUCUAUAUUCAAAACUCGUAAUAAGCCUACGUCCUCAUAAUAUGGCGAGGUUGACAUAGUACCUACAUACAAAUUUCAUUCCAUUGGGCCUAUCAUAUAUAAAGAUAAAAAUUCAAUAAAACAAAAUUAAAAAAUAAACACCCUUUACAUAAAAACGUAGAAAUGAUUUGAUGAAACCUACUUUCAAAUACAAUUAACCUAACAGUCCUCCACUAUUCAUAACAAGGUGAAUGAAAUACUCUAGAUCAAUCUGAAGGCAAUGACGGAAACAAUAAAAAAAAAAAAAAACGAAGUACUUAUAAAGAAAUGUUUUUAAGAGUCUUUAUUGUACUUAUCUACAAAUAAAAAUAGUAGGUUAAAUUAAUGCACUGUACUUUCUUUGAAUAUGCUGACAUCGAUGAAAUUUAUAAUGAGAUAGGAUAUUUAAUCAAUAUUUUGCACAUAUUAAAAAAAAAUUAAGUAUACAGUAGCGAUAGCGGUCACCAAACUAAGCUUGGUCUGUAUCUUGAGGUACCAUUGGUAUCUAAGUAUUUUCUAGUUUUAAUUAUGCCAACACUGAAAAGGCUGUUAAUUAAAGGUAGCUAUAAGCACCUACUUGUAUUUACCUCUACAUAUUUUUAUUUUAUUUAAUCCUUUAUUGCACAAAUAUAAAAAUAAGUGUACAAAGGGUGGACUUAAUGCUACAAGCAUUUUCUACCAGUCAACCCACAGGAGGUGUUUUUACCUACUUAUAUGUGUUUACUUACUCACUGAAUGAUAAUACACACACUUUAAUAUUGUUAUAAUAAAAGGUGAAUGGUAUGCCGAAGUGCAAGCGGUGCUCACACAGGGUUGUGAAUGGUAUGCCGAAGCACAAGCGGUGCUCACCUAAUGAUAAUUAGUAUAUAGUGGCUGGUAUGCCGAAGUGCAAGCGGUGCUCACACUGGGUUGUGAAUGGUAUGCCGAAGCACAAGCGGUACCCACUAUACUAUUUAUCUGAUAAAGAAUUCUGAGGAACAAUGAACAUACAGUGUAGCCGACCAAAAAUUCACCUAGCAACGUUGCAGCGUAGCAGACCAGCGUCAGACCAGCAUUAAGUACAUCAAUAAGAACAGCCGGAAUAUGGUUUACUAAUUACUUAUAGUCUCUUUGAGUUUUGUUUUAAUUAUGAUUGCUAAGUGCAUUUAAUAUCACCGCAUAGAUAUAAUAACUUUAUUAAUUUUGCUAAUUCAUUCAGUUUGUUAACAUAAAUUUAGAACUUGUUAGUUAGCGUUCGAAUGGCCGACAGGGAAUGGGGACAUUCCCAAUAACAGGACGGCCGACUGUUAGCGUUUAAAUUUACCAAUGCUAUUCUUUACUAAUAUCAAGCUACUUAUUUCAUCAUAGGUCCGGCCGGAUUACUAGAUGUAGCUAGGAGUUGUUCUUUAGUUCAUUUAGUUUCUAUAUUGUCUGUGAUUCGCAUUGACUGGCCGGUCACGGGAUUCAUGCGGAUUCAUUCAAUUCAAGAUGGCAGAAAAAACAAGGAUAACUUUUAAAAAGACUUCUGUUUGUUAUUAGAUUCCUUUUUGAAUAGUUUGUGUUCCUUAUAAAAGUAUUUUACUUCAAA